GACGAACGCUGGCGGCGUGCUUAACACAUGCAAGUCGAACGGAAAGGCCCUGCUUUUGUGGGGUGCUCGAGUGGCGAACGGGUGAGUAACACGUGAGUAACCUGCCCUUGACUUUGGGAUAACUUCAGGAAACUGGGGCUAAUACCGGAUAGGAGCUCCUGCUGCAUGGUGGGGGUUGGAAAGUUUCGGCGGUUGGGGAUGGACUCGCGGCUUAUCAGCUUGUUGGUGGGGUAGUGGCUUACCAAGGCUUUGACGGGUAGCCGGCCUGAGAGGGUGACCGGCCACAUUGGGACUGAGAUACGGCCCAGACUCCUACGGGAGGCAGCAGUGGGGAAUAUUGCACAAUGGGCGGAAGCCUGAUGCAGCAACGCCGCGUGCGGGAUGACGGCCUUCGGGUUGUAAACCGCUUUCGCCUGUGACGAAGCGUGAGUGACGGUAAUGGGUAAAGAAGCACCGGCUAACUACGUGCCAGCAGCCGCGGUGAUACGUAGGGUGCGAGCGUUGUCCGGAUUUAUUGGGCGUAAAGGGCUCGUAGGUGGUUGAUCGCGUCGGAAGUGUAAUCUUGGGGCUUAACCCUGAGCGUGCUUUCGAUGCGGGUUGACUUGAGGAAGGUAGGGGAGAAUGGAAUUCCUGGUGGAGCGGUGGAAUGCGCAGAUAUCAGGAGGAACACCAGUGGCGAAGGCGGUUCUCUGGGCCUUUCCUGACGCUGAGGAGCGAAAGCGUGGGGAGCGAACAGGCUUAGAUACCCUGGUAGUCCACGCUGUAAACGGUGGGUACUAGGUGUGGGGUCCAUUCCACGGGUUCCGUGCCGUAGCUAACGCUUUAAGUACCCCGCCUGGGGAGUACGGCCGCAAGGCUAAAACUCAAAGGAAUUGACGGGGCCCCGCACAAGCGGCGAAGCAUGCGGAUUAAUUCGAUGCAACGCGUAGAACCUUACCUGGGUUUGACAUGGAUCGGGAGUGCUCAGAGAUGGGUGUGCCUCUUUUGGGGUCGGUUCACAGGUGGUGCAUGGCUGUCGUCAGCUCGUGUCGUGAGAUGUUGGGUUAAGUCCCGCAACGAGCGCAACCCUUGUUCACUGUUGCCAGCACGUUAUGGUGGGGACUCAGUGGAGACCGCCGGGGUCAACUCGGAGGAAGGUGGGGAUGACGUCAAGUCAUCAUGCCCCUUAUGUCCAGGGCUUCACGCAUGCUACAAUGGCUGGUACAGAGAGUGGCGAGCCUGUGAGGGUGAGCGAAUCUCGGAAAGCCGGUCUCAGUUCGGAUUGGGGUCUGCAACUCGACCUCAUGAAGUCGGAGUCGCUAGUAAUCGCAGAUCAGCAACGCUGCGGUGAAUACGUUCCCGGG
rnacentral:rRNA from 1 species